rnacentral:antisense_RNA from 1 species
AAAGAUCGCAGCCUGCGGCAGCUCCUACAGGGUUGAUACAUUUCCCGUGCAGGAGCUGCCGCAGGCUGCGAUCUUU